AUACGUAGGGUGCGAGCGUUGUCCGGAAUUACUGGGCGUAAAGAGCUCGUAGGUGGUUUGUCGCGUUGUCCGUGAAAUCCCACGGCUUAACUGUGGGCGUGCGGGCGAUACGGGCAGACUAGAGUGCUGCAGGGGAGACUGGAAUUCCUGGUGUAGCGGUGGAAUGCGCAGAUAUCAGGAGGAACACCGGUGGCGAAGGCGGGUCUCUGGGCAGCUACUGACGCUGAGGAGCGAAAGCGUGGGGAGCGAACAGGAUUAGAUACCCUGGUAGUCCACGCCGUAAACGGUGGGUACUAGGUGUGGGUUCUUUCCUAAGGAUCCGUGCCGUAGCUAACGCAUUAAGUACCCCGCCUGGGGAGUACGGCCGCAAGGCUAAA
rnacentral:rRNA from 1 species